GUAAAAGGCCAGCUAGGCAUGGAAACCUAGUAUUACAGGAAGACAGUGAUGCUUGUCAAUCUUUAGGGACUGUUAAUAUCCCAAAAUUAUCUUGUAGUAGUAAGUCCUGCUGUGUCCCUGGGUUAGGAGUGAACAGCAGUAAUUUAAGAAUUAGUUCUCUUGCUGCAGCAAAAUCUUUGCGUUCCUUGUCUUUUAGUCCUUGUGCUCCCUCCCUUAACUCUAGUCUUUUUAACUGGGA
rnacentral:misc_RNA from 1 species